UACGAAGGGGGCUAGCGUUGCUCGGAAUUACUGGGCGUAAAGCGCACGUAGGCGGUCUUUUAAGUCGGGGGUGAAAUCCUGGAGCUCAACUCCAGAACUGCCUUCGAUACUGAAAGACUUGAGUUCGGGAGAGGUGAGUGGAACUGCGAGUGUAGAGGUGAAAAUUCGUAGAUAUUCGCAAGAACACCAGUGGCGAAGGCGGCUCACUGGCCCGAUACUGACGCUGAGGUGCGAAAGCGUGGGGAGCAAACAGGG
rnacentral:rRNA from 1 species